rnacentral:lncRNA from 1 species
AAAGUUCGAAUCUUUCCCUCUCUUUUGAUUGUGGGGUAAGCUUUCGGGCGCCACUGAUCGAAUUAAUCACUGUUCCGUGAGCUUUUUCUUUGAAAUUUGUGGUAUCCUUGUAUAAAUCUCUAGAUAGAUUUCUGCUAUGAAAUUCCUGACUCGGUUCUUAAUAUUUUAUGAUUUGCUGCUACAUUUUCAUUGCUUGCGACCUAAACCGGC